UGAUAUACAUCCACAUAUGGAGUUCAGUCUCAUUCCAGGUUAGUUGAACACCAGUGAUGUCAGUUGAACACCAGUGAUGUCAUUUGAACACCAGUGAUGUCAGUUGGGCACCAGUGAUGUAAGCUGAACACCGGUGAUGUCAUCUGAACACCAGUGAGGGUUUCACACAGCAGUGUCCUGGAGAUUGACCUUCAACUCCUGGAGGGUUUCUGGAAGGAGGUGGGUAGGAACUAAAAUACCCCGGCCACUUGGUACGUCACUGACUG